AGCAGCCACGAGGAAAGCAUGUACCACACUUGUUUGGUCUUGUGUCAAAGCUGUGCGAAACUGGAGGGAGAAACUUGAGAGACCGUGCCGGAAGAAUGCUGGACAGAGUUCACUAAAAUUCAUUAAUUUCAAAGUUCAACAUGAAUGGUGGUGGUCCACUGCAGAAGCAAGCAUUUGAAAAAACAUCAGUUCUCAGUUAUUAAAGAUGCUGUGUUGAACAACUUCCCAGCAGCAACAGAACUGGAAGUGAAGGAUGCAAUGGGGGCAUUUCAAACAGGCACCAGGGAGCACGGGGGGGGGGGGG